AGGAAUAUUGGUCAAUGGACGAGAGUCUGAACCAGCCAAGUAGCGUGAAGGAUGAAGGUUCUAUGGAUUGUAAACUUCUUUUAUACGGGAAUAAACGAAUCCACGCGUGGAUUUUUGCAUGUACCGUAUGAAUAAGGAUCGGCUAACUCCGUGCCAGCAGCCGCGGUAAUACGGAGGAUCCGAGCGUUAUCCGGAUUUAUUGGGUUUAAAGGGAGCGUAGAUGGGUUGUUAAGUCAGUUGUGAAAGUUUGCGGCUCAACCGUAAAAUUGCAGUUGAUACUGGAUAUCUUGAGUGCAGUUGAGGCAGGCGGAAUUCGUGGUGUAGCGGUGAAAUGCUUAGAUAUCACGAAGAACUCCGAUUGCGAAGGCAGCCUGCUAAGCUGCAACUGACAUUGAGGCUCGAAAGUGUGGGUAUCAAACAGGAUUAGAUACCCUGGUAGUCCACACGGUAAACGAUGAAUACUCGCUGUUUGCGAUAUACGGCAAGCGGCCAAGCGAAAGCGUUAAGUAUUCCACCUGGGGAGUACGCCGGCAACGGUGAAACUCAAAGGAAUUGACGGGGGCCCGCACAAGCGGAGGAACAUGUGGUUUAAUUCGAUGAUACGCGAGGAACCUUACCCGGGCUUAAAUUGCAGAUGAAUUACGGUGAAAGCCGUAAGCCGCAAGGCAUCUGUGAAGGUGCUGCAUGGUUGUCGUCAGCUCGUGCCGUGAGGUGUCGGCUUAAGUGCCAUAACGAGCGCAACCCUUGUUGUCAGUUACUAACAGGUUUCGCUGAGGACUCUGACAAGACUGCCAUCGUAAGAUGUGAGGAAGGUGGGGAUGACGUCAAAUCAGCACGGCCCUUACGUCCGGGGCUACACACGUGUUACAAUGGGGGGUACAGAGGGCCGCUACCACGCGAGUGGAUGCCAAUCCCAAAAACCUCUCUCAGUUCGGACUGGAGUCUGCAACCCGACUCCACGAAGCUGGAUUCGCUAGUAAUCGCGCAUCAGCCACGGCGCGGUGAAUACGUUCCCG
rnacentral:rRNA from 1 species